CCUAGCGCCCUCAUUCGCCAAAAAAGGUGACUCGGUAUCGUCUGCCCAACCCCCCCUCCUUGCGCACCCCCCAGUUCUCUAGCACAGCCUGGAGCCGAGCAUGAUGUGCAGUGCACAUUCCUUUUGGAUUCCACCAGGGCACACCUUGGAGUCACACAUGUCCGAAGUCACAGCUUUCUUCCCUCUCCUGGGAGGGCGAGUGUUCCCCACUGCGUCCUGCUCUCUCUACCUCUGCUGCUCCCAUCCACCCAUUGGAAACACUGACACAACUGCGCUCUGCUACUACCCUCCCCGUCUCUCUCUCCCACCCCUCUCUGCACAUUAUACCGUGGAAGCCACCGAUGAAGGAGUAGAUUGAUUUGUGCCUGCACUUGGCUCCCUAAAACAAGUCUUCGGGGAGUGUAGGGCAUAAACCACCAUGCCGUUUGCCUAAUUGCCACUCUGCUCCACCCCCACCCCCAACCCCUGCAAGAGAUGGCCAGGAAUUCUAAUUCAGCCGCUGCCUCUGUAGCUGCCGCUCUACAGAUCCCCCAUUUAUCACUUGUGCUGUGUUCAUCACCCAGAGCAGAAAUUUCAAAGAAUCCUUUUUGCUUCAGCUUUUUGUUUUCCUAAUUCCAAAUGCUAAUUAGCAACGGAGUCCCAGCACAAUAUCUUCAGGAGUCACUUUUUAUAUAGUCCAGCUACUGACAACAAGCCACCACUGGUUCCUUGUGUGGAACAAUAUCCAGGCUCUAGGCUCGGUGACGGCUUUUCAAUUACUGCAGGGAGACAGGGCUGGAAUGGCAGCCGCAUAUUAAUGCCUCAGCUCAGGGCAGCGUGCAUUCAGAGAGCAGGCCAUGAGGAAAGGAAAAGAGGCUAGCUGUAAAAUGGCAAGAUUACAGGAUACUGCAUAUAUCAGAGACAGACAGACUGCAUCUGUUUACAUCUGGAUCUGCAAGGCAACCAGAGCUAAUAAAACAUUAAUCUCUCAAUUCCUGCUGAACAGUUGUGUCGUCUGGGGUGGGACAGAUCCAGACCCAGUUUCACUUGUUACAUCACAUCUGGUAUGUGGUGGCCAUCAGAUGAAAAAGCUCAACAGCUUGCUAUGCUAAUUUCAGGUAAGACAUUUUGUUUUUAAAUCUGGUUUCUUUGUGAUCUCUAUCUUGCAUUUAAUUGGAUAGAUGAGUUUAGUGGGUUUUUUUUUUCCUGCACCUGCAGUUUUAAAAUAAAAAGCAGUCUUCCUUUUUAAUAUACACUGUAUCUGCUACUCUUUAUUUUCAUAAAGAAAUAAACUUGCAAUUACACUAUUUCAGGGUUCAUUUCAUAAAUCUUACUGGUCAUGCACUUCCUUUUGCUAUGUAGAUCUCAUAUACAGUAUGCAGUUUUGAAAGGAACACAUGUUAUAGAAAAUAUGUAUAAAAGUAUUCAUAUGGUACCUGUCUAGUCUGAUUGGGGUCGGUUUCACAAUCUGGG